rnacentral:rRNA from 1 species
GACGUAGGGCGCGAGCGUUGUCCGGAUUUAUUGGGCGUAAAGAGCUCGUAGGCGGCUCGUUGCGUCGGCUGUGAAAACCCGCAGCUCAACUGUGGGCUUGCAGCCGAUACGGGCGGGCUGGAGUUCAGUAGGGGAGACUGGAAUUCCUGGUGUAGCGGUGAAAUGCGCAGAUAUCAGGAGGAACACCGGUGGCGAAGGCGGGUCUCUGGGCCGAUACUGACGCUGAGGAGCGAAAGCGUGGGGAGCGAACAGG